UACGGAGGGUCCAAGCGUUAUCCGGAAUCAUUGGGUUUAAAGGGUCCGUAGGCGGUUUUGUAAGUCAGUGGUGAAAGCCCAUCGCUCAACGGUGGAACGGCCAUUGAUACUGCAAGACUUGAAUUAUUGGGAAGUAACUAGAAUAUGUAGUGUAGCGGUGAAAUGCUUAGAGAUUACAUGGAAUACCAAUUGCGAAGGCAGGUUACUACCAAUAUAUUGACGCUGAUGGACGAAAGCGUGGGGAGCGAACGAGGAUUGAUAA
rnacentral:rRNA from 1 species